rnacentral:sRNA from 1 species
AUAUUAUAUAAGAAAUCUAUAAAAAAAAAUAUUAUUUAAAUUAUGAUUAUAAACAAGAGUAUAUCUGUCUUUUGUUAUUUUUGAAUGAACCAUCUCCAUCCAAAUGGUUCAAACAAAUUCAUCCAAAUGAAUUUCAUUAAUUUGCCUAAAUUUUGAAACUCAUUCAGAUGUAUCAUCCAGAUGAUUCAUCCAAAUGCUUGUUAAAUUGUCAUAAACAAACAUCAUUUUCCAUCUCCAUUUGGAUGGAUCAUUUGGAUGGAGAAACAAACAGGCCAUAGUCACCGGAGAUAUGAACACAAUUAAUAACACACAUCUCGUCAGUCAUAAGAUAACAAUUAACAAUAAACUGGCUUGUUCAACUCUUCUCUUACAUUAGGAUCCUUGACAUGAUAGGAUCCUUAAAACGGGCAAUACUCUCUACAUGUUGAGGUGCGAUGCGGACAUGACAUUCACCCUCGUCUACGAAUCCGGAACAGCGCCUAAAUUCUUCAUCGUCUCCAAUUCCUAAGAGCCUAACUCUUCUAAUGUUUGUUGUUUCA